rnacentral:sRNA from 1 species
ACCGGAGUCGAGCCUUGUCAUCAUUGGUUUGUUGGGUAAGGAAACCUAACCUGUUUAUGUCUUCUUCUUCUGCAAGUUCGUGUU